AACACAUAUGCGAGUUUGCGGGUGCAAAAACCCAUAAGCGCAAUGAAAGUGAGUAUAAGGUGUGAUACCUUCUAAAUUGGGGGUUGCAACAUCGACCGACCUUGAUCUUCUGUGAAGGGUUUGAGUAAGAGCAUAUUUGUUACGACCCGAAAGAUGGUGAACUAUACUUGAGCAGCCUGAAGCCUGAGGAAACUCAGGUGGAAGGGCGCAGCGGUACUGACGUGCAAAUCGUUCGUCAGACUUGAGUAUAGGGGCGAAAGACUAAUCGAACCAUCUAGUAGCUGGUUCCCUCUGAAAUUUCUCUCAGGAUAGCUGGAACAAUUUCAAGCAGUUUUAUCAGGUAAAGCGAAUGAUUAGAGGACUCGGAGCUCAAAGAGCUUUGACCUAUUCUCAAACUUUAAAUUGGUAAGAUCUAUUAGUUCUCUUAAUUGAACUGGUAGGCAGAAUGCAUUGUUCCAAGUGGGCUUAUCGUGGUAAGCAUGUUAAGCAAUGAGGGAUGAACCUAAC
rnacentral:rRNA from 1 species